rnacentral:tRNA from 2 species
GGUCAGGAUAGCUCAGUUGGUAGAGCAGAGGACUGA